UACUACUACUUCUUUUUA
rnacentral:snRNA from 1 species